GGGGUAAAAGAUUUUUUAAGGCCCCCCCUAUGGCAAUCGAAGCAGCCCUGACAAGAAAAACGAGAUAGUGUGCGGUUGAUCGGUCAUGCAAUCUGUCAAAUAUUCAAAAAAUAAAGUUUGUUUACAUUUUGAACCGAACGAUAGCUCUCACGAUGUACAACGGCGAAUGAUUAAAAAAAGGCUACAUCAGUGAUGAAAAUGUUGUGUGUAAUGUGUAAAAUAAACAGCCGAAAAAUUAUAAAUGGUGGUAGAAUCGACUUCGCACGCCUGAAAGCCGUUUAGGCUGUUGUGCAACCGUGUUGAGCCGGCGAACGUUCGAAAGCGGGAAGAAAGAAUGCCGGCAAUCCAACUAAACGAUGUUCGAUCAUGGAAAACAAGUUAAAAAGCAUACAAAGCUCGCUCGCCGUUGGACGCUUGGACAAUUACAUUUACAAUCAUUCGGUGAUCAGUUUGCGAAACGUCUUGCCACACGCCUGGUACAGGCCCUUCUUGUCCGCCCCGGCAUCGAUCGUGGACUGAUUGUUCGGCAGCGUCAGCAUCAUCACCUUCAUCUGCGGGUAGUUGUGGUACGGCACAGUUCCGGUCGCCAUCUCGAUCGCGGUAAUGCCGAACGACUAGAAGCCGUAUCCGUGGUCCCGCUCCGUCUCCUCCGGCGCCAUCCAGCACGACGUGCCGAUAAACGUGUGGUACACCUUCUGCCGCGACAUGUCUCCAUCGGUGACGAGCCACGCGCUCAUCCGCUAUAUUUAAGGAGCCGUCGUCGCCGGGCAGUAUGAUGGCCACCUUGAUGUCCACGUAAUGAGCAAUGCGAAAUGUGCUCUCAAUUGGCAAGCGCACAGCAAGAAACGUUACCGACAGUCUUUGUCGCCGUGAAAAUGCUUCUAAUGCACGGGUGAGUUGCAUUAUAACUACAAGCAUACGUUUUUUUUCCUUUCUUUAAUUUCAGCUAAUGCCAGACGAACGAUCGAAUGACUGUUGCUUCGGAAGGGAGGUCGCAUUAGAGAUACCGACUUGGACAUGAUCCAGUCGGUCGGUUGCAGUUGCUCCAUGGUGCUUCGGAUAAGGCAACAACGGAGAAGCGCUCCGGACGCUCCGGAGAAGCUGAUCGAGAUCGGCGAAGCGGUGUAGUGUUGUGAUAUAGUGAUUGUGUGUACAUUUAAGGUGUAAAGGGUGAUUAAUGCUAGUAACGUUGUGUAAUGUUAUGCAGAACAAAAUGCAGCAUAAAUGGCGAUGAGCCAGCAUUGUUUAAAGGUGCCGGAUGUUAUACGUUAGAGCCGUUCUUUGUGGUGUGAUGUGUUAACAUAUUAAACCAGUAUUAGGAUUAGGAUAUAAUUAGGAUUUAAACCAGUGCCGUUGAAUAAAAUAGUGUACAACAGGUUAGAAAACAUUCCGUGUAUUUUGUUUUGUUUUUUUAAAGCUCUUUCGAUUACCUAUUACGGAAGCAAAUAUGUUUCACUAAUGUGCAAAAGGUAAGGAAUUAGUGAUCGCGUUGGUAGGUAAUUGCUCGUUUACGGUGUUUCUCCAUUUGUAUUUAUUGUUUCUCGCCUGCUGUGUUUGGUUCCCCAUUCCUCAUAAUGGUGCGUACGUUUCGUUAACAAUGUGCAUUAGAUGGUGAUGUUACAUGAUAAGUAAAUGUUGAGCGUGUUGGCGGGUUUCAAAAAAUAUUUUACUUGUCCUGCUCCGUUGGUUGUCUGGCUGGCUGGCUGGCUGGCUGGUUGGAUGGCAGAAUGGCUCACUGGCUGGUUAGUGCAGACUAUGAUCGGAUGCGC